AAACUAGUAAUUAGAUACCCUAUUAUUUUAAGUUUAUUUUUAAAGUAGUAAAUUAUGUUUUUUAAACUAUAAUUUUUCUGGCGGUUCACUACUCUAACAGGAGGAGCUUGUCAAAUUAGAUUGAUAACCCGCUUUUAUUUUCACCAUUGGUUUAUCUUAUGUACGGCUGUUAAGCUUUAAGAUUUAUCUUAUUGUUUUAACUUUUAAAAGCUUAGUUCAGGUCAAUGUGUAGACUAUGCUGUGGAUUUUGAUGAGCUACUUUUAUUAGUUUUAGUAUUUGUCUUCUUUUUAAAUUGGAUUUGUUAGUAAAGCUGGAAAUAAAACUUUAGCUUGUUGUAGACUUUUGGUGAAAGUACAUAUCGCCCGUCACUCUUUUGAUAGAUAAGUCGAAACAUAGUA
rnacentral:rRNA from 1 species